rnacentral:sRNA from 1 species
CAAGAAGUCAGGUUGACUAGCAAGAAUUCUGCUUCUGCAACUUGGAGAAGAGAUUUAGAAUUAUGUAUCUUUUGUUACAGAUAUACAGAUAUACAAAUAUUAUUUUUGUUGUUGCUGGAAGGCUGAAGAUGGAGGGAAUCUGAUAAAGACAUCUUAUAAAUUCAACAGACACAAAAAAUUUGAUCUCCCAUAAGCAACUGUGAAAUUACAAUAACAGAUCCUGAGAAUUUCUACAAUUCUAGUUUAGUUUUUUCAAGGCGAAACAUGGCAAAGAUGUUUAGUUUCAUCCUUGUUACCAC